UGAUGCGCAGCGGGAGAACCUCCCACAAAGGAGGUGCCGUAGGAGCAACUUCCUCCCCGGGAAUCUCUCAGGCCCAGCACCGCAGCGAAGAG
rnacentral:ncRNA from 2 species